rnacentral:rRNA from 1 species
GUGAUCUGCCUCGCACUCUGGGAUAAGCUUGGGAAACUGGGUCUAAUACCGGAUAUGACCAUGGGAUGCAUGUUCUGUGGUGGAAAGAUUUAUUGGUGCGAGAUGAGCCCGCGGCCUAUCAGCUUGUUGGUGAGGUAACGGCCCACCAAGGCGACGACGGGUAGCCGGCCUGAGAGGGCGAUCGGCCACACUGGGACUGAGACACGGCCCAGACUCCUACGGGAGGCAGCAGUGGGGAAUAUUGCACAAUGGGCGAAAGCCUGAUGCAGCGACGCCGCGUGAGGGAUGACGGCCUUCGGGUUGUAAACCUCUUUCGACAGGGACGAAGCGCAAGUGACGGUACCUGUAGAAGAAGCACCGGCCAACUACGUGCCAGCAGCCGCGGUAAUACGUAGGGUGCGAGCGUUGUCCGGAAUUACUGGGCGUAAAGAGCUUGUAGGCGGUCUGUCGCGUCGUCUGUGAAAACUUGGGGCUCAACUCCAAGCUUGCAGGCGAUACGGGCAGACUUGAGUACUUCAGGGGAGACUGGAAUUCCUGGUGUAGCGGUGAAAUGCGCAGAUAUCAGGAGGAACACCGGUGGCGAAGGCGGGUCUCUGGGAAGUAACUGACGCUGAGAAGCGAAAGCGUGGGUAGCGAACAGGAUUAGAUACCCUGGUAGUCCACGCCGUAAACGGUGGGUACUAGGUGUG